CUAUUCCAGCUUCUAUGAGGUGGAGUAUUCUAGAUGCCUCAAGUAAGUGGAAUCAUGCAACAUCUGUAUGGAGGGUCUAGUAGGGAACAUAACAUGUAGUUCGUACCAUGUCUGUGUACUUUAAAUACCUCGUGACAGAUGAAGGCCAACAAGGGACUACAGCUCCUUCUAGAAGCCCUGCUGUUUCUCUACACACUUGGACCUUAUCUGAUACCUAUUCCUUCUAGAUGUGACACAGACCAGGAAGAAACAGGCCCCCGCCAGCAUCGACAGGAACAGAAAGAGUCCCACAGCAAUCACGAUGAUUUGCUGGAGUUUUGUGGCGGCUAAAAAGAUGACACGGAAGUAAACAAGAGGCCCGUCCCACCCGUGGUACAAAUGUCGGUAAUUUCUCACCUGCCAACCGCUUAGAGAGAGGUCGUUUCCUAGUAGAAUCGGGCCGACGCUGCCCCUCCCCCGCCCAGCCUCACAUGCUUAGAUGACUAGCUAGGAAAGGCAAUCCUAAAAUAAAGCAGCGUUAGCCGUC